rnacentral:ncRNA from 1 species
GAAGUCGUAACAAGGUUUCCUUUCGUCCAGGUCAUAUUCAAAAUCACCUGCUGAAGCCUCAGCCGCCCGAAAGGGUGCUCGCCGCGACUUUAUUCGACACCGUUUUAAAAAUAAAGAGCGAGCUGAAAGUGCUAGUCGGUUCUCUAUUCAAAAGGGACCGGCGACACCGUCAAAUUGCGGGGACGCCCACCCGACUCUCGAACACCAAGCGGCUCGCCGACAAGGCGCCCGCGGCCGGGGUAACGACCCAGGGUAUGGUAACAGCGUCGAGAGGAGAUGCCGCGGUUUUUAUUAAACGCGGUGGAAGUGGGUCAUCCGCAGCCAAGUCCUACGGCCUUUUCCUACUUGUGAGGGCCAAAGGAUGCUGUUCACAGACUACAUGGCGGUGGGUACGCUUCUUCUAUUCGAAUGAGCGUGCCUAAGAUAUAGUCGGGCCCCCCCGGCAACGGGGUGUUGGGUAAGCAAACCAAACCAGCGCAGUGUUUUCACCGUUCCGUAGGUGAACCUGCGGAAGGAUCAUUG